ensembl:rRNA 5S_rRNA 5S ribosomal RNA
AGCUACAGCCACAUCACCCUGCAGUCCAAGACCGGUUACACACUGAAGCUAAACUGGGCUGAGCCUGCUCAGUAUCUGCAUGGGGGACCACAUGGGAAAACUAGGUUGCUGUUGGAA